rnacentral:rRNA from 1 species
AUUGAACGCUGGCGGCAGGCCUAACACAUGCAAGUCGAACGAGUGGCGGACGGGUGAGUAAUGUCUGGGAAACUGCCCGAUGGAGGGGGAUAACUACUGGAAACGGUAGCUAAUACCGCAUACCCUCGGAUGUGCCCAGAUGGGAUUAGCUAGUAGGUGGGGUAACGGCUCACCUAGGCGACGAUCCCUAGCCGGUCUGAGAGGAUGACCGGCAAAACUGGAACGGAGACACGGCCCAGACUCCUACGGGAGGAAGCAGGGGGGAAUAUUGCACAAUGGACACAAGCCGGAUGCAGCCAGGCCGGGUGGAUGAAGAAGGCCUUCGGGUGGUAAAGUACUUUCAGCGAGGAGGCGUUACUCGCAGAAGAAGCACCGGCUAACUCCGUGCCAGCAGCCGCGGUAAUUC